UGGCGAACGGGUGAGUAACACGUAGACAACCCGCCCCCUCGGCCCGGGACAACCUCUGGAAACGGAGGCUGAUACCGGACGGGCAGGAGAGGGGCAUCCCUCUCCUGUGAAAGGCCCUGCAAGGGGCCGCGAGGGGAUGGGUCUGCGGUGCAUUAGCUAGUUGGCGGGGCAGCGGCCCACCAAGGCGACGAUGCAUAGCCGGCCUGAGAGGGCGGACGGCCACAUUGGGACUGAGACACGGCCCAAACUCCUACGGGAGGCAGCAUG
rnacentral:rRNA from 1 species